rnacentral:rRNA from 1 species
UACGAAGGGGGCUAGCGUUGCUCGGAAUUACUGGGCGUAAAGCGCACGUAGGCGGCUUGUUAAGUCAGGGGUGAAAUCCUGGAGCUCAACUCCAGAACUGCCUUUGAUACUGGAGAUCUUGAGUCCGGGAGAGGUGAGUGGAACUGCGAGUGUAGAGGUGAAAUUCGUAGAUAUUCGCAAGAACACCGGUGGCGAAGGCGGCUCACUGGCCCGGUACUGACGCUGAGGUGCGAAAGCGUGGGGAGCAAACAGG